rnacentral:misc_RNA from 1 species
CUGGUUGGUUGUGGCUGGAGAAAGCAAUAAAUCCUCAUAGUCUUCCGCAGCACCUAAUCAAACUCUAGCAUACUCCAGGCAUAGAAGAAAGAAAUAUCCCAUCAGACACACGUGUACGGCUCCAGGGUCCCAAGUUGCCCGCCAAAGUCAAUUUCUAUCUUUAAAAAAAUCGAACCGGAUGAACCGGACCGUUUUAUCCACGUAAAUAUCUGCUCUCCGUUAGUGGGGUAGAAAAUUUUCCUUCUCGUCGUCUCUCCUUUCCUUCCUCAAUCGAUCGUCAAAACCUUAUCAACAUGGGAACAAUGCUCAAACCCAUUACAGCUGCUAUUUUCCUUUGCCUCUUUUUGUUGCCUUUGGUAUUUGCUGCACCU